UACGUGCCAGCAGCCGCGGUAAUACGGAGGGUGCGAGCGUUAAUCGGAAUAACUGGGCGUAAAGGGCACGCAGGCGGUGACUUAAGUGAGGUGUGAAAGCCCCGGGCUUAACCUGGGAAUUGCAUUUCAUACUGGGUCGCUAGAGUACUUUAGGGAGGGGUAGAAUUCCACGUGUAGCGGUGAAAUGCGUAGAGAUGUGGAGGAAUACCGAAGGCGAAGGCAGCCCCUUGGGAAUGUACUGACGCUCAUGUGCGAAAGCGUGGGGAGCAAACAGGAUUAGAUACCCUGGUAGUCCACGCUGUAAACGAUGUCGAUUUGGGGGUUGAACUAUAAGUUUGGCGCCCGUAGCUAACGUGAUAAAUCGACCGCCUGGGGAGUACGGCCGCAAGGUUAAAACUCAAAUGAAUUGACGGGGGCCCGCACAAGCGGUGGAGCAUGUGGUUUAAUUCGAUGCAACGCGAAGAACCUUACCUACUCUUGACAUCCAGAGAACAUUC
rnacentral:rRNA from 1 species